GAGAACAUCGGGAACGGGGCGCGGUGGAAGGGUUGGGGGCAGUCGUUGUCGUGCAGUAGUGUGGCGAAGGGAGUCGGAGGCGGGUUGUGGAGUGGGGGGGGAGAGGCGUGGGGUGAGCCCCGGGUGUGCAGGGGAGAGGGGCAGGCGAGGGUGCUGUUGGGGAGGUCGGAAUUCCUGGUGUAGCGGUGAAAGGCGCAGAUAUCAGGAGGAACACCGGUGGCGAAGGCGGAUCUCUGGGCCGAUACUGACGCUGAGGAGCGAAAGCGUGGGGAGCGAACAGGAUUAGAUACCCGAGUAGUC
rnacentral:rRNA from 1 species